AGAGUUUGAUCCUGGCUCAGAUUGAACGCUGGCGGCAUGGCUAAAACAUGCAAGUCGUGGGAGAACCCUUCGGGGGGACACCGGCGAAAGGGCGAGUAAUGGUAUCGAACGUGCCCAGAGGUGGAGGAUAGCGUCGGGAAACUGGCGGUAAUACUCCAUGUGCUCUACGGAGGAAAGCUACGGCGCCUCUGGAGCGGCGAUACUCCUAUCAGGUUGUUGGUGGGGUAAUGGCCCACCAAGCCAAAGACGGGUAGCGGGUGUGAGAGCAUGACCCGCCGCAUCGGAACUGAGACACUGUCCGGACUCCUACGGGAGGCUGCAGUAACGAAUCUUCCGCAAUGCGCGAAAGCGUGACGGAGCAAUGCCGCGUGUGGGAUGAAGCAGCUUCGCUGUGUAAACCACUGUCAGGGUCUAGGAAGAACUGACCAGACCCAGAGGAAGGACCGGCUAAUCUCGUGCCAGCAGCCGCGGUAAUACGAGAGGUCCAAGCGUUAAUCGGAAUCACUGGGCUUAAAGCGUCCGCAGGCUGACCAGUAAGCAUCUUGUGAAAUCCCACAGCUCAACUGUGGAACUGCAGGGUGAACUGCUGGUCUUGAGGUAGGUAGGGGUCAUCAGAACGUACGGUGGAGCGGUGAAAUGCAUAGAUAUCGUACGGAAUGCCGAAGGUGAAGACAGGUGACUGGGCCUAUACUGACGCUCAUGGACGAAAGCGUGGGGAUCAAACAGGAUUAGAUACCCUGGUAGUCCACGCCGUAAACGAUGUACACUGGGUCGGUGGCGCUUCGACGCGUUGCCGGCCGUAGAGAAAUUAUUAAGUGUACCGCCUGGGGAGUACGGUCGCAAGGCUAAAACUCAAAGGAAUUGACGGGGGCUCACACAAGCGGUGGAGCAUGUUGCUUAAUUCGAAGCAACGCGAAGAACCUUACCUGGGCUUGACAUGUACGGAUUAGCUCUUGGAAACAUGAGUGACGCCUUCGGGUGGAACGUACACAGGUGCUGCAUGGCUGUCAUCAGCUCGUGCUGUGAAGUGUUGGGUUAAGUCCUUUAACGAGCGCAACCCUUGUCGCUAGUUGCCAGCGCGUAAUGGCGGGGACUCUAGCGAGACUGCCGGUGUCAAACCGGAGGAAGGUGGGGAUGACGUCAAGUCCUCAUGGCCCUUACGCCCAGGGAUGCAAACGUGCUACAAUGGUAGAUACAAUGCGACGCAAGACCGCGAGGUGGAGCAAAUCGCAAAAAGUCUGCCCCAGUUCGGAUAGUAGUCUGCAACUCGACUACUUGAAGCCGGAAUCGCUAGUAAUCGGAGAUCAGCUACGCUCCGGUGAAUACGUUCCUGAGCCUUGUACACACCGCCCGUCACGUCAUGGAAGCCGGGAGUGCCCGAAGCCGCCUCGAUUCAGGGGUGUCCACGGCAAGCUUGGUAACUGGGACGAAGUCGUAACAAGGUA
rnacentral:rRNA from 1 species